UACGUAGGGUGCAAGCGUUGUCCGGAAUUAUUGGGCGUAAAGGGCUCGUAGGCGGUUUGUCGCGUCGGGAGUGAAAACUCAGGGCUUAACCCUGAGCCUGCUUCCGAUACGGGCAGACUAGAGGUAUGCAGGGGAGAACGGAAUUCCUGGUGUAGCGGUGAAAUGCGCAGAUAUCAGGAGGAACACCGAUGGCGAAGGCAGGUCUCUGGGCCACUACUGACGCUGAGAAGCGAAAGCAUGGGGAGCGAACAGG
rnacentral:rRNA from 1 species